UUAGUCGCAUGUGUUGCUCAUCGUGGGACGUUUCUUGUAAGGCUGAAAUUGUGUUUUGACUCGACUGACUGCCACCCGACACCAGGCCAGCCGGUCGACAGCGGAGUUCGACGAUUCCCGCCGCCAGUUGCUGACUCUUUCUUUCUCUAAUUUGGCUUCGGCUCCGUUCGUUUUGAGUGAGUGUAUAUCACUCUGUGAGUGUGGGUGCGUGUGUGCAUGUGUGUGUGUGUGUGUGUGUGAAUAUCGUUGGGGUGUGCACAAGUGGACAGUGCCUGUGUUGCCCGGUGGAUAGCUAUCGUCGAGCGCGCGUGAGGUCUGUAACUGAUCGCCGGUGGUAGACCGUCGACUCGUUAUUUUGCGUUGCGUCGCGUUGUGGUCAAAAUGUGUGCUAUCGCUCGGACAGAAUGUGUGUUUUUGUUCGGCAGAUUGGCUGGUCGACCGAUGUUUACUAGACACACCAAAAAGUAUGUGCGUGUGCCUGGCAGUGGUCUAGCGGUGCUUUGACCGACCUCGUGAGACCUCUGUGGCUAGCUAGCUAGUUGGCUGGGUGACUGGCUGACGAAGCGCUCGCUUUCUUCAUGCUGGUGAUGUCGAUUUAUGAGCUCACACAGUUCAAUGGCUACGCUUAAAGGCUGGAUUCGUUGGAUGAUGUUGUGGUGCGUUUUGCUUGGCCGACAAUGACGGACUUGCCCGCCGCCGUGGGGGUGCCACAAUCGUAUCACGGGGUGCUAGUUCCUAGCCGGCCUUUGCCAGGUAGCGUGAGUGUUGGUCGGAUACGCCACCGCCAUCGCUGGGCUAGCCCAGCCGAGAAUCCAACCGCUGCCAGGUGCUGUGUGUUCCGUUGCCGGUGGGUUUAUUAGCUAGCAUAAGCCGCUAGCUCGCUAGGGGCAGCAGCAGCGCCGCUGCCGCCGCCGCCGCCGCCGCGAACAGCUUAACCGACGCAGCAGCAACAAUAAAGGCCAUCAUCUUGUCGCCGCGUUGACUCUUCGGCGGCGUCGUCGUCGUCGACUUCCGUUGCCACCGAAGGCUAAUCUAAAGUCGAGGCUGCAAAAGCUGCCGGAUAACAGCAUUUUUGCAAUCGCCGCCAUCAACAUCCGCAGCAGGCAUCUACCGUUGCGAUCAACGAUUGAAAGUUUUCCGUCGACUGGCAGUGCGAUAGCAAACCUGUACAAACCUGUAGUUUUUUUUCGACUGUUGUUGCUGUGACGGCAACUGCUUUCGGUGCUAUCGUGGGUACCGUGGCUUCAGUGCAGAAAGUAUUGUACUGAGUAAGAGAAGUCGGCGGCGUGCGGUGGUUUUGUGCUUGCCUCUACAGUAGCGUUGCUGCGUGUGCGCUUGUCUAAGGCCAAACCUCAGCAGCAACAGCAAGCAGCCGAUCUGGCUGUCAGCUCGAGGGCUUCAGUAGUUUAUUGUGUAUUGGACUGUCACCUUGAUUGGAUACUUCGUAGCAUAAUCAUUGGUCAUGUGUUGGAAUCUCAGCUGAACUUCUAGAUCGUAUUGCUGCUAAGACAAACGACACCAGCGAACAAUUUCAAUUUUGUGCAGUCAAAAAGGAUAAUACGAAUACUCAUCAAAAUAACUAUCUUUUCCUCAAAAGGCGCUUGAAUUUUCUGCUAGUAGUGACUGUGAUGACUUUGUUAACGAAUACGGCAGCUAGUACCAGUGCAAAGAAUAGUAGUAUAGGUGAUUUAUGAUACAAGUAGGGAAGGUGUGCCAACACAGUCACACGGGCGGUUUAUUAUUGUCAUUGCUACGCCGUAUUUCGCGGCAGCAGCAGCAGUUGCUGUGCAGCACAGUUCGACCGUUACCUUUUUGCAGCUUCACAGCCGCCGUCUUUGUGUUCAUUGCAAUUCCCCAGCCGCUGGCUUCGCAGGCGUGUUUUUCAAUUUUCUAGCCGAAUUGUUAACAAAUGUCGCUGAUCCAACAGAAAACCACAAGGAAUUUCUGAUACCUGAUUUGUCCUGUAGACUACUGGCAUCGUACCUUUCGCUAGCCACCCUAGGACUCGUCGACGUCAGGCCAUACGACACAUGACUGGAAUCAAGACGAGGCCGAGUCUUAAUACUGUUGCAGUUUCUGGAUUAAUUCUAGCUUCACUCGAGAUAACUGUUAUCGUGCAGAUUAUUAGCUCCCCUGCUGCUACUAGUGCUGAUGCUGCUUAGCCGUCCGCCGUGACCGUACUUUUUCCCCUGCUAUCGCUAUAGCAGCCGCCGCUGUCGUCGUAUUGUUGUUGCCCGUCUGUCGUGGUGCUGUGACUGCCACUGCUGCUUCCCAACAGCAGCAACAGCAGCUAUCAUCGCUGCUGCUGGUUGUCGUGGUAGGAGAGCAGUUGACUCUUCGUGCCGUACAGCCUCCUCGUGUGGGUACCGUUAACGUUGCCAUUGCACCGCUAUCAAUCGCCCUCAUCAGCGUCACGUUCUGGUUGGCGACGAACCUUAACAGUAUAGCGCGAAACAAGGAAUUGGCCUGGUCAGGUCGGCGAGUCUGGUGUGAGCUAAGCCGAUGAAGCCGGCCACAUCACUUCACCGGUCAUAGUCGUAGGAGCCGUGAUAUCAGUGUUAAUGGUCGCUGUGGUCAACGGCAAGCAAAAAUCAGUAAGGUACCAACGAUUAAGCUCUUUACAGUUUGGCCGUUAGCCGCGGAUGAACUGGUCGUAGUUCUGCCUCGUUCAGCGGUGGCGUCAGGUGCCGAUACUACUUCGGUUAGGACGAGAAGUGUGCGCAUAGUAGCAGCACCAAUGUACGAAUUACGUUAUACUGGCUAAUAAUGGUAGGAAGCUGAGCUGACGGCGGCCUCGACAAAGGCUUCCUUGUCCGCUGCGUUCUUGUUGGUAUUGUGGUGGAGUGUGGUGCUGUGUUUCGCUGCGCCUACAACGCGAACAAGUACUCAUCGACAAACGUAAGCGCAAUCAACGUGUCGUGUGUUCGUCCAUUCGUCCGUGUGUUACUGCUCCUAAUUUCCAUUGCUGUGCUGCUGCUGUUGCGAAGCUCGCCCGUGUGUAUGGUUCUCUAGAGAGUGACGAAAGCCAGCGAAAAACGAACUAACAAUCAACGACCGACGCGAACCUACGCCGAGUCACCUAUCCCGCGCAGCCGACUCAUUGGCGGCGGCAGCGCUUAGUUGAGUGGUCUCAGUGUUCGGCGGCAUCAGCAGUGAACGGUGGUCGUAAUCGAGCUGGUGGCAUAGUGCUGGUCCCGGCUGCUGCAGCUUCUAGUUACUACUACUACUGCUGCUGCUGCUGCUGCUGCUGCUGCUGCUGUUGCUGUUGUUGUUGCUGCUGCUGCUGCUGCUGAGUCGCUCUAUGCUGUGACCGCUACGUACUGCGGUGCUGAGCCUAGUGCUGUCGUCUACCUACUACUGCUGCCGCCGCCGCCUUUGCCCCCGUCGCCUCCCCCGCCGCCGCCGCCGCCCCCGCUGUGGACGUGGCGGUGGUGUCGAUAUCGUGCUGGUGGUCGUUUUAUCGGUGAGAAGUGGUUAGCUGGCUGGUGAAUAUUGGUCAGUUUACUGGUGUAGCUGUUUAAAAAAGAACGCGAAAUACUGCUACCGGUUGUUUCGUUCGUUCGUGUGUAGAGCACUUGCUGGUGUCCUGCGGUAAAGCGACUGGGGUAGCGAGUGUACAGCGCGGUGGACUGCGGUGGCGGCGAGAGUUUUUGUUAUCUCAACAAGAAGGAAAAAGAGCUGUGCAGCUCGAGAAGUUGGUGCUCGCUGUGCAGCGAUGAGCCGCAUCGGCAAGGAUGUCUAGUGAGCAUUGGCCGAGCGAACGUAACGACCCGACAAGUAGCAGCUGCAGCGGUAGUGGAAUCAGGGAGGUGGCAGCAGCAGCAACGGCGGCGGCGCAGGGCCAGCCAACGCGCACAUCACCGGCGUUCGCCGUUCAACAACACCAACGAACCCGCCAGCCUCGUUGGGAUUCGCUGACUGGAAGCCACAACAAGGGUGUAGCACUGAAACGAUCUCUGGAGGAGCGAGGUGCUAGUGGCUGCGGCCCAGAAGCGAAAAAGAUGGCGGGUGGUCAGGCGGCGCCGGGGGUACUCGGCGCUAAUCCCAACGCUGUUACGGAAGAAUGGUCAGUGCCUGACAAGAUGGUCGGACUUAUCAUAGGUCGUGAUGGCAAACAAAUCAUGAAGCUUCAGCAAGAGAGUCAGUGCAAGGUUCAACUCUCGUCGGAAUCAAACGGAACUUCGGAGCGACCCUGUACAUUGACCGGGAGUAAGCAAGCGGUUGAGAAGGCUAAAGAACUCAUCUCUGCGCUUAUCACCCGAGGACAAGAAGCCUUGCAUAAGGGCGCAAUGAAUGGUGGCGGGGGCGGAAACCAGGGAGAUAUUACUCUCGACGUCCCUUGUCCAGGGCACAAAGCCGGUUUGGUGAUUGGGCGCGGAGGUGAGACCAUCCGUGGGCUGCAGGACCGCGCGGGCGUGAAGAUGGUCGUGGUUCAGGAAUCCUCAAUGCCACCGCAUAUGGAUAAGCCGAUCCGCAUCACGGGCGAGCCAGCGAAGGUUGAAUUUGCGAAGAAACUCGUUCUUGACCUCAUCAACGGCUCAGCCCCACAGAACGGAGGCCCUGGUGGCGGAUGUAGCGGUGGGCAUCUGGAGCGAGGAGGCAGCGGCUUCCCUGGAAGUCAAAUGGGAGGCCCCGGCGGACUCACUCCAGUGCCCGGCGAACCUGGCAUGCUACAGGAGCAACUAAUUGUGCCCCGGCAAGCUGUCGGCGUAGUCAUUGGUAAGCAGGGUGACACGAUAAAACGCAUACAGCUAGAGACCGGCGCGCGCGUGCAGUUCCAGACCCCGGUGGAUGAAAGUCAACCUGACCGGAUUUGCAUGAUCACCGGACACCAACAGCAGGUUGUUCUCGCCUGCAACCACAUCUCGGACCUCAUCUCCUCAGUUCUUCGGAGGGACGAUGAAAAUGGCGGGCCGAGUGUCGGCAGCGGCGGCAGUUUAGGUGGACUAGGUGGAAUGGGCCGGGGUGCUGGUAGAGGUAUUAGUGGUCGAGGGGCAAUUCGGGGAGGCUUCAGAGGAGGUCGUGGAGGCGGCAGAGGAGGUCCGAUGGGAAUGGGAGGCGGUCAUUUGAGUUCGCCAGGCAGCGGUAUGGGUGCUGGAAGCGGUAUGGGCGGUCUCGGGCCCGAUCAGCAGGAGGCGCAGAUGCAGGUGGCCGCCAACAAAUGCGGCCUCGUAAUUGGUAAAGGCGGUGAGAGUAUUCGUCACAUCAUGCAACAGAGCGGUGCGUACAUCGAGCUGUCCCGCGCGGGUGGGCCUUCAGCCACUGAGAAGUUCUUCACGAUUCGGGGCACGCCACAAAGUAUCGAGGUGGCGCAACAGCUUAUCUCGGAGAAGAUUGGCAGCGCAGGCAAUACUGGGCCGCCCGGCAGCGGUAUGAUGGCCGGUGGCGGCACGAGUGCAAACGGAGGCACGCCUGGCGGCUACCAGCCUGGUUAUGGCAGUCAAACAAGUUACGCGGCCCAGGGAGGCGGCCAGUAUGGCGGUGCGGUGGCCACAGCGCCCGGCCAGAGCGCCUGGGGUCAACCAGGGCCCUACCAGACGCCAACAGCCGCAAACGGGACAGCCCAGUGGGGACAGCCGCCCACCGCCGCAACUCCGAACGGCGACUUAAGCAAACAGCAAGACAACUCGACAGCCUGGGCGGCGUUUUACCACCAGUACUAUCAACAACCAGGCGGAGCCCAUCCUGCUGCAGCGCCAACAGCUGCAGCAGGUGGCAGCGCAGCCUCGAAUCCAUCGGCGCCUCCCUCGACGGGGCCGAGUGGUCAACCCGAUUACAGUCAGGCAUGGAUUGACUACUACCGUCAGUUGGGAAUGUUCCAGGAGGCGGAGUUGAUCGAGCGACAGACGCGCGGAGGCGCUCAGGCUAACCCCGCCGCCCAGCAGCCUCAACCGCAGACACAGGCCGGCACUCCAGGUGGGCCCAGCGGCGUUGCCCAGAAUGGCGCGCCCUGGGGCGCAGCACCAUACGCUGCGCCCGGUGCCCCCUACGGAGGUGCACCAGCUGCACCUCAGCCCUACGGCACUUACGGAUACCCCAGCGCAUAAUAAGAUCACGUUCCAUCACCGCUCCAGAAAUAAUUACUACUACUGCUACCGCAGCUCUUACCCUUCGCGUAAAUAGCAAGCAAGCUGCUUCUUCAUGGAGGGGGGAGGGGGCCCAACAUAGCCGACGAUAGAAUAGCAAGAAGAAUUAUUAAACAACAUCUAUGAAUAUUUACUACCAGCACCAACAACAACAACAACAACAACAACAACAGCAGCAGCAGCAGCAGCAGCAGCAACAGCAACAACAACAACAACAACAACAAGAGAAAGAACAACAAAGUCAUAUGGAGAAAAAUCUGUCUGUUUGUGACCGAUUCUGGAUGAAGACAAAGAUAAAAUGAUAAACCUCUUCAACAAGAACAGCCACAACAAUAAGCGAGCAGCUGUUCGUCUUUUCAACCGUUGUACCGCAUGAUAUUACAAGUGCUCCUGCAACUAUUCCUACAACUACUACAAUCAUUUCUACCAUAUUUCCCACAACUUCUACAACCACGCCGGCUGACUGCAGCAAAGACCUCAACUGUCUCGUUGUGUCUUCUCUCUACACAAAAAUAAGAAGAGAUCUACUUUUGCGAGAGAAUGUACUGCCUCACUGGGACUUUUUCAGAUCGUGUAGACGCAUUUGCGAAAGGUCAGAACGCGAAGUAGCUGUACACAAAUGACACAGCUUCUUCAAACGAGCGAUGUCGAGGCGUAAAGACGACAGCGACGAAUGAAGAUGACGACAAAAGUAACGACUCUCUUAGCAGCAACGCUCAGUGAACGACAAAUAUCGCCAAGUAACAAGCAAAAUGACGGCAUGCAAAAAUAACCACAACAAUAAGAACAACAGCAGCAGCGGUAGCUACAACAAAGACGGCAACGCCACGUGAAUAUACGACAAUGCACAGUCGUAUUAUGCUACGCAUGAUAAGUCAUCAGGACGGUUGCCCAUGAAAAAGGGAAAUGUAUAUGAAUAUCAGAUAUAAUAGGUUUAAAACACACAUAAUACAUUCGUGCAUAUGUUAGUUGCUGGGUGGUAUAGAUGUGUAAUGAUAGCGCUAUGCGCACAAGACUAUCGAGUUGGCGAGAGAGUAGAACGAUGACAAGCGAUACAGGGGUAUAUUAUUUAAAGCGACUAUAGGCCUCUUUAAGAUGUCAGAUUUGCGGAUUUGUAGGAGUGACGAUCUCAUGCUGACCAAUUUGCUAUCCAACGACAGACAACAUAUGCAGACGAAUAUUCGUGUGCUUACAGACACUCAUACAUCAAAAAACGCACGUAGACAUGCACACAUACACACACACCCACACACACACACACACACACCCAUAUGGACAGUAAACAGUCACUGUACAGCGCGGAAUCUGCGCUACAGACAUGCACAUGUCGACAAAGGUUCAUACCGAGAGAGAAGUACACAUUUAAAUUUACACAUCCUUUGUUGAUGUUAUAUUAUUAAUUUAUGUUAUCUACUCACAACCUAGCCGGUCAUCAAAGGCUCCAUAACUGAAUGGUUCAUUAGACCUUUUUGCCGUCUUUUCUUUUUGCUGUCUCCUUAAUGCGUGUUCGUCUCCCUAGCUUCAUGCGUAGUUUGCCAAUGUGUAUGUGUUAAGUCCAAAAACAGGGAAAACAUACUCACAAUUGCCUAUUAUAAUACUAAUAAUAAUAUACGGUAAUGGAUUUAUUAAAGGUAGUGCUGUUACGAUCUAUACGCUAAUGAUAAGAAGAUUAGGUCAAAUAACGGGAAUAUCAAACUGUUAAUUUUUCAUUUUUUCUUGCUGCUCAAUUUUUGAUGACACGUUUCUUGUUCGAUUAUUUUUCCAUCGUAGUUUUCAGCGCUAGUGGUCAAAAAACAAUUGGUUUUCUGUAGUUGUUUUCCUAUAGUGGGAAUGAGUGUUUUUCGCUGCUCAACUGUAUGUGGUACAUAUAUAUAGUGCAUCAUUACGGUAACAUGAAAGCGAUGACAGGGAUUAAAAUGAUAACGACAGUGAUUUCAAAAGUAACGUUGAUGUUUGUGAAGCAUGGAUAUAAAUUAAGGCAAAAAUAAUGGCUAAAAUACUAUAUCUACAUAUAUUAAGGCGAAACGUAACAGAUACACAAACACGAAUACAUAUAUUUAGAGUAGUGUGUAACAUCGACACCAAGUAAACAAUUAAAAACAGCAGAAAAUGAUGAGAUAAAUUAUGAUAAGACAAUGAUAGUAUCACAUCUCAUGUGCUCGUCAAUUGUACAGAACAUGGAGAUGUGCGGGGUGCGAAGUUCAGGUGAUGGCAUAGAACGCUUUUUGUGCUUGGUGGAAAGCAAAUACGUUGAUUUUCUAUACUAUGUCCCACACGCCAUGAACGGUAUACCCCAUCAACCACCUCAGCGUGAAUAGACGCAUGUUUGUCUGAUUUAGGUGACAAUACCUGGUCUUAAAGAAAAGAAUGCGACAGCUAGUGUCAAACUGACCCACGCGACAUUGAAGCCAUGUCUAGCGGCUUUGUUUCGUGUGGUAUCAAAUAGUUAGACGAAUCUGUCAUAUAUAAGCUAUGAAGACAGAGUUCUAAUUAAGGACUUAUAGAUGUAAACAUUUGGGGGGUCUUGGGGAAAGACAACACUGAACGCUAGCGAAAAACACAUUUACAGAUAUCAUCUACAGGUGUACAGCCACACAGACGAAGGCAUACAUUCACCAACCGGAUAGUCGCAACAGGCAGAGAAAGUAGGUGGAACGAAAACAUGAUAGUCAUAGAAAGAGCGUGCGCCCUGCAAGGAAUUAGGAGAAGAGAAGGACGGUGUAAGGAAAAAGAAAACCUUUUUUUUUUUCAACAAAUAAUGAUCAUUGUCUUUACCUUCGAAAACAAUCGUUUGUAUCCGCCUACGCGGCAGAGUCUAUAUCGUGUUAAGCUGCGAGUGGGUCCCGUUAUGCCUUUGGUCUAUAUAUACAAAACAAAAUACAUGAAAUAUAUGUGUGUCGGUAGUGCGGGUGAAAACGCGGAAAAUCAAUAAAGCGCGAGAUACAGAAAGACAACCGGGAAAAAGAGGGUGUGCAGGUACAGACGACUGUAGACGUUGUUACUGGUAUAUGUACUUUCGGAACAAACCGCGAGAGAGAAAAAGACAUAAAUAUCUAGUUGCUACUUGCUAAUGCGACUAUAACGGAGGAUUCCUCCUAACACGAACUCCGACCGUUAGGUAUUUGCGUCCCGCAGGUUAGCGUCUUCGUCAGGCAGCCAGAUACAAUAUAUAUAUAUAUAUAUAUAGAUAUAUAUAUAUAUAUGGUCGGCGAUUGCUGCUUGACAAAUGCGGGCGCCAAAAUAACUCGAACAUUGUGGCACAGAGCCUGUGUUGGAUGCACACUCAGAGGGAGUGUUGUUGAUAGAUGUGUGACGUGAUGGUAGUCGAAUAAAGUAAAAUAAGCAGUAUAGUAAUAACAAUUGCAACAAUUUAGAAAAAAAUUAGGAGAACCAUAUAUAUAUAAGCCUAAGUCGGGUCUCUUAUGAAAGCAGAAGUUAAAAUACGGGACAGGAAAAAUGACAGAGGUAGAGGUAUGGAAAGCUCUCAUUGCGGGUAUGUUCGACCUUGCGAUAACCCCUACACACUCAGCCUGGCUAUCCGGUACUAUCCGGGGUCAGUAACAACAAAAACAACUACACUAACAAAAGUAGAAGUGAAGAUGGUAGUAACAGGCGAACAACAAAGCACUUUAAAUCGAAAUAGCGAGCGCAACAACAGGAAGAGGAAUGAUCAAUAAUUAACGGAAGUGGAAAUUCCAAAAAAAAACCAGCAACUGGAGCCCAAUCCAACCGACCUAAGUAAAACCCAACAAACAAAGAAACAAAUAUAAUAAUGCGACAAUAAAAAUAGCAAUGAUGAUGAUGAUAAUAGUAAUAAAAGUAACAGUACUAUGAUGAUUAAUGAUUAUUAUUAAUUAUUGAAGAAAAAACAUAAGCAAAAACACAUCCAUCAUUCCGGCCCGGUCCCGGUUUGCGGGCCCCUUCGAUGCCGCGCCGUUGCCGGCCUUCAACAAGCAUCUGUCUCUUCGUAAAUUUAGAAUACAUGCAUUGAUGUUGUAUAUUAUUUAUGCCGAUGAUAAUAAUAAUGAAAAGCGACGUCAAGGAAGAAAUUAUUAUAAUAUGAAGAGAGC